AGUAUAAGAGAAUACAUGGUCAC
rnacentral:siRNA from 1 species